AAAAAAAUCUAUAUGAGAAAAUUUUAUAUAUAAAUAAAUUUUUAUGAUUUAAAAAAAUUUAAUUUAAAUUUAUUUUACAUGUAAAUUUUAGUGUUAAUUUUUAAUUAUUUUAAUAAUAAUUAUUAAUAUUUUCAGUAAUUAAAAUUAAAAAUUUAAGAAAUUAAGAUUUAGAAAUAUUUUGAUUAUUAACAAAUUUUGUGCCAGCAGUUGCGGUUAUACAAAAAAUAAUUUAAAUUUUAUCGGUAUAUAAUAAAUAAGAAUUAUUAUUUAAAUUAAAUAUUAAAUUAUUAAGUGAAAUUUUAAUUUAAUUAAAAUUUAUAUUAAUUUUAUGAUUUAUUAAAUUUUAUAAAAAACUAGGAUUAGAUACCCUAUUAUUAAAAAUUAAAUUUAUAAUACUAAAAUAGUAGAUAAUAAUUUAUUGAAACUUAAAUAAUUUGGCGGUAUUUUAGUUCAUUUAGAGGAAUCUGUUUAAUAAUUGAUAAUCCACGAAUAAAUUUACUUAAUUUAUUAUUUUGUAUAUCGUUGUUAAAAAAAUAUUUUUUAAUAAAAAUAAUAUUUAAAAAUUUUUAUAUAAAAUUAAUUCAGAUCAAGAUGCAGAUUAUAAUUAAGAAUAUAAUGGAUUACAAUAAAUAAAUUUAAAUGAAUAAUAUUUUUUAAUAAAUAUUUGAAGGUGGAUUUAAAUGUAAUUUUAAUUAAUUUAUUAAAAUGAUUAUAUAUUAAAAUAUGUACAUAUUGCCCGUCGCUUUCAUUAAUAAAUUGGAAUAAGUCGUAACAAAGUAGAGGUACUGGAAAGUGUUUCUAGAAAGAA
rnacentral:ncRNA from 1 species